rnacentral:rRNA from 1 species
CCUACGGGGGGCUGCAGUGGGGAAUAUUGGACAAUGGGCGAAAGCCUGAUCCAGCCAUGCCGCGUGUGUGAAGAAGGCCUUCGGGUUGUAAAGCACUUUCAGUGGGGAAGAAAGCCUUGGGGCUAAUACCCUCGAGGAAGGACAUCACCCACAGAAGAAGCACCGGCUAACUCCGUGCCAGCAGCCGCGGUAAUACGGAGGGUGCGAGCGUUAAUCGGAAUUACUGGGCGUAAAGCGCGCGUAGGCGGUCUGAUAAGCCGGUUGUGAAAGCCCCGGGCUCAACCUGGGAACGGCAUCCGGAACUGUCAGGCUAGAGUGCAGGAGAGGAAGGUAGAAUUCCCGGUGUAGCGGUGAAAUGCGUAGAGAUCGGGAGGAGUACCAGUGGCGAAGGCGGCCUUCUGGACUGACACUGACGCUGAGGUGCGAAAGCGUGGGUAGCAAACAGGAUUAGAUACCCCAGUAGUC